UGGGGAAUUUUGGACAAUGGGCGAAAGCCUGAUCCAGCAAUGCCGCGUGUGUGAAGAAGGCCUUCGGGUUGUAAAGCACUUUUGUCCGGAAAGAAAUCCUUGGCUCUAAUACAGUCGGGGGAUGACGGUACCGGAAGAAUAAGCACCGGCUAACUACGUGCCAGCAGCCGCGGUAAUACGUAGGGUGCAAGCGUUAAUCGGAAUUACUGGGCGUAAAGCGUGCGCAGGCGGUUUGCUAAGACCGAUGUGAAAUCCCCGGGCUCAACCUGGGAACUGCAUUGGUGACUGGCAGGCUAGAGUAUGGCAGAGGGGGGUAGAAUUCCACGUGUAGCAGUGAAAUGCGUAGAGAUGUGGAGGAAUACCGAUGGCGAAGGCAGCCCCCUGGGCCAAAUACUGACGCUCAUGCACGAAAGCGUGGGGGAGCAAACAGGAUUAGAUACCCUGGUAGUCCACGCCCUAAACGAUGUCAACUAGUUGUUGGGGAUUCAUUUCCUUAGUAACGUAGCUAACGCGUGAAGUUGACCGCCUGGGGAGUACGGUCGCAAGAUUAAAACUC
rnacentral:rRNA from 1 species